UUUAUGAACAAUUUAGCGAUUUGUUUUAUGCAAUAAUGCUUCCAAAAGUUUGUGGACAAAUUUGUCCUUAGUUUGUGUUGGAAUUUGUCACCAUUUAGUAACGCUGAAAAACGUUCCCGCCUGCGACACAAAAUCGUUCGCACACGUGAGGAACGAUCCGAGGUAGCAGGCGCCGCGGCGUGGCGAGUUCCGCAGUUCAAGAAAGAAAAGACAGUCGGCAGCGCUGCAGGCUGGUGCGGCGGUCCUUUUCGGGUCAUGCAGAUUCGCUGCAACUUGGAGCGCUGCGGUGCCGUCGGCGUCCUACUAGGCGGGCAGUGACCAGGCUGACUCAGGAGAAAACUCUGCCUAUUGAAGAGAUACGUCUUCCUCGCAUCUAUUUCAGCUGCAUGUCUGCAACGCUCAAGGAUUAUUUUUGUAUGGGUAAGUU